rnacentral:rRNA from 1 species
GACGAACGCUGGCGGCGUGCUUAACACAUGCAAGUCGAACGGAAAGGCCCUGCUUUUGUGGGGUGCUCGAGUGGCGAACGGGUGAGUAACACGUGAGUAAACUGCCCUUGACUUUGGGAGAACUUCAGGAAACUGGGGCUAAUACCGGAUAGGAGCUCCUGCUGCAUGGGGGGGGUUGGAAAGUUUCGGCGGUUGUGGAUGGAUUCGCGGGUUAUGAGCUUGAUGGGGGGGUAGUGGCUUACCAGGGUUUUGACGGGUAGCCGGCCUGGGAGGGUGGCCGGCCACCUUGGGACUGCGGUACGGCCCAGACGCCUACGGGCGGCAGCAGUGGGGAAUAUUGCGGAAUGGGGGGAAGCCUGAUGCAGCGGCCCCGCGUGCGGGAUGACGGCCUUCGGGUUGUAAACCAAUUUCGCAUGUGACGAAGCGUGAGUGACGGUAAUGGGUAAAGAAGCACCGGCUAACUACGUG